CUUGAGUAAAAUGUAUCACAGGUAUUGCCUUAACGUUUCCAAAACAGAAAAACCCAGUGUGGGGAGAAGAAAGCGCCAGCAGCAGCUCUGCAGGCUUGGGGCUGAGAAUCCGGUAAUGAAGUCUUUCUGGAAGGCUAAAAGACCUGACAUUUAUGCUUCUGGCAGACGAUCCUCCCUGUGGACCACAUUCUGCCAGCACUAAACUGAAAUGGUUUCUGGAUGCUGAACAGUUAGAGAAAGGGAACAAACAACUGGAGGAAACACUGCCACCUGUUAAUGCUGACUUUUACCAGACAAGACUGGCCACCAGCUGUUGAGAGGGAGUCCAGUCAUCUCUUAGAAGUAUGGUCUGUUCCAUCUGGCUACUCACUAGAAGGACAGUAAUCCUUUCCCCCAUCAGAGCACGACUCGGAUAAAGUAUGACGAAUCGCCCUGUACAGUUACUAUUGGAGCCCGUGGCCAAGAAGGAUAGAGACGACUGCCUUUGUCUCUGCAGGCAGACACGACCUCGUUAGAUAAAGAAUUAUAGGCGUUAUUUAUUCUUGCACAUGUUGCUCAAGGUCCAGACCAUGUUAGAAUAUGAACAUGUAUAUGAGUAUGCUCAUUUACCAGUAGGACAAAUAAAGAUAUAAAUC